GAUGAAGCAUGUUUAUGUAUUACGGAAGUGAAAGUUACCCACAACGCGGUGAAUAAUCUGUAUUAUGAAGAAUCUGCAUACCUUAUCAGGUUCACUAUAAAAGGAGCCCCCGCAAGGAAAUGCUCGAAGAGCACCGAUGUUUUGGCGGCUGGCAGCAGCGCUGGCGUCAUCAUGCCGCCACGCUAAACUGCGCCAUGACAUUCAGCAUUUUUCUUCCGCCGACUCAGGAUAAUGAACCGCCUCCGGUACUGUACUGGUUGUCCGGGUUGACCUGCAAUGAUGAGAACUUUACCACCAAAGCAGGCGCGCAGCGUAUCGCAGCAGAACUGGGCAUUGUAUUGGUG
rnacentral:misc_RNA from 1 species